rnacentral:rRNA from 1 species
UACGUAGGGUGCAAGCGUUUGUCCGGAAUUAUUGGGCGUAAAGAGCGUGUAGGCGGCUGGGUAGGUCCGUUGUGAAAACUCGAGGCUCAACCUCGAGACGCCGAUGGAAACCCUCCAGCUAGAGUCCGGAAGAGGAGAGUGGAAUUCCUGGUGUAGCGGUGAAAUGCGCAGAUAUCAGGAAGAACACCCGUGGCUAAGGCGGCUCUCUAGUACGGUACUGACGCUGAGACGCGAAAGCGUGGGGAGCGAACAGG